rnacentral:hammerhead_ribozyme from 1 species
AGCAGCUGAUGAGUCUCAAAUAGGACUAAACGCGCGUCCUGGAU